GUCGCGGCGGAUUCCUCUAGACACGAUCCAGCGGCGGGGACUCCUCCAGUGCCGGGGGGGUGGGCGGGAGCAGGGGGGGAGGUGAGUGCGUCCGGGAGUGUGAGAGAGAGUGGGGGGAGGGAGGGAACGAGGGCGAAGCGCCCCCACCCAGCGCGGGGCGGGGGAAGAGCGAGGGGCGAAAGGAGGGAGGCGCCGACGAGGGCCCCCCCAACAGGGCACCCGGUCCGAGUUAGGAGUCUGAGAGGAAUGGGAAUCGGGGGCGGUCCGAGCCAGUGCUCAGCAGAGGUUCCAUGGACUAGCUCCCUCUCUCUCACUCGGGAAAGGGGGGCGGGGACGAGAGGCUAGCAGGGGGGGGGAGCGGUGGGAGGGCAAGGGGGAAUCACCGGAGGGGAGGGGAGGGGAGGCGGCGGAAGCACGCACGCCGCCCGCUCCUUCCGCAGCUGCGGCCGCGGCCGCCGAGGAUUGACUCCCAAAGGCCCCCCGCCGGGGGACGACGGACAAGAAGUAGUCCCUCGCGACUUCUCUCGUGGCUGCGUGCUCGUCCCGGGAGAGAGGAGUUUGGGGGGGGGGAGGCAAGCGAAGGGCUGGAGCCCCGAAGUGGUGUAGGGCGGGCGAGAAAAGAGAGAAAGGGGGUACGGGGGAGGGUGGGGAGGAGAAAGGAGAACGGAGAACCUGAGCCUCCGGGAGAAUCACUGCAGCCCGCAGCCGUGCGCUGCCGAGCAAGUUUCAGCAAAGACAUAGGAACUCUGGUGGUUGUUGCAACGCAAGGAAUAUCGGUACCGAGCAUUCAUCCCAGAAGGUUAAAGUGGUUCUUAAUGGAAAACUGGGAAGGCAGUUCAUUGAAGCCUACAGUGGGCGGGUUGCAUGAAUCUGGCACAGUUAGAAGUACAGGAAGUAACUGGCGCUGCAAGAAUGAGGUUGCAUAACUGCAAUACAGGAGAUACCCCUAUCGCAUAAACGGAUUCAAAUGUUGGAAGACUGAUUACUGGAUAGGGAGACGUGGAGUUGAUAUUGUUACAGCACAAUGCUUGCAUUCAUCCCAAAAAGUUUAUGCAGAGAACCUGAUGUCGUGCUAAAGGCCCUCCAUCCUGCUCUUCA
rnacentral:lncRNA from 1 species